rnacentral:rRNA from 1 species
GAUGAACGCUAGCUACAGGCUUAACACAUGCAAGUCGAGGGGCAGCAUGAACUUAGCUUGCUAAGUUUGAUGGCGACCGGCGCACGGGUGAGUAACACGUAUCCAACCUGCCGAUGACUCGGGGAUAGCCUUUCGAAAGAAAGAUUAAUACCCGAUGGCAUAGUUCUUCCGCAUGGUAGAACUAUUAAAGAAUUUCGGUCAUCGAUGGGGAUGCGUUCCAUUAGGUUGUUGGCGGGGUAACGGCCCACCAAGCCUUCGAUGGAUAGGGGUUCUGAGAGGAAGGUCCCCCANAUUGGAACUGAGACACGGUCCAAAACUCCUACGGGAGGCAGCAGUGAGGAAUAUUGGUCAAUGGACGAGAGUCUGAACCAGCCAAGUAGCGUGCAGGAUGACGGCCCUAUGGGUUGUAAACUGCUUUUAUACGGGAUAAACGGAUCCACGUGUGGAUUUUUGCAUGUACCGUAUGAAUAAGGAUCGGCUAACUCCGUGCCAGCAGCCGA